GUAUUUUAAAUUUGGUUCCGGUGUUGAUCUAGGAGGUCGUCAUGAAGAAACAUUUCAGACCAAAUAGUCUUGAGAAAAUUGACGAUCCACUUUCCGACUGUCCAGUAACAAAUGUCCAUACAAAUAAUACCACAGAGAAGAGAAACUCCUUCGAUUCGGUUAAAGAGUAUUUUACAGACUAUACAACGAACUCUAACCUUCAUGGUUUGAAGUAUAUUGGCGAAAAGCAGCGGACGUUACUUGAAAAAUUAUUCUGGGUGUUAAUGUUCACAUCAUGUGUGCUGGUCUGUGGCUAUACCAUAAUGAAACAGUGCAAUAAGUGGCCUGAAAAUCCUAUCAUCGUAAGCUUUGCAGAAAGGCCUACACCUGUGUGGCAGAUACCGUACCCCGCUAUGACCAUAUGCUCUCAGACAAAAGUUAAACAGACUAAAUUCAACCUUACAGAAUACCGACGUCUCUUCCUCAAUAAUUAUACAUUUGCUAAUUUUACAGAA